GAAUUAUUCACCCUUGUCUUUUGCGUACUUCUUGUUUCCUUGGUGGGUUCGCCCACCACUAGGACAAACAUAAACCUUUUGUAAUUGCAAUCAGCGUCAGUAACAAAUUAAUAAUUACAACUUUCAACAACGGAUCUCUUGGUUCUGGCAUCGAUGAAGAACGCAGCGAAAUGCGAUAAGUAGUGUGAAUUGCAGAAUUCAGUGAAUCAUCGAAUCUUUGAACGCACAUUGCGCCCUUUGGUAUUCCAAAGGGCAUGCCUGUUCGAGCGUCAUUUGUACCCUCAAGCUUUGCUUGGUGUUGGGCGUCUUGUCUCUAGCUUUGCUGGAGACUCGCCUUAAAGUAAUUGGCAGCCGGCCUACUGGUUUCGGAGCGCAGCACAAGUCGCACUCUCUAUCAGCAAAGGUCAAGCAUCCAUUAAGCCUUUUUUUUCAACUUUUGACCUCGGAUCAGGUAGGGAUACCCGCUGAACUUACGCAUAGUA
rnacentral:rRNA from 1 species